UUUUCCUCCACGCUUUUGACUGAAACUGGGAACUGCAGGUACCCGCAAAGGAGAACGAACCAGAGUUGACUCGGCUCCUUGGAGUCUGAAGAAAAGUGCUUGAACACGUGUAUACAUCACAAUUGCCAGCUCCGAAUGAAAUACUCUAGUCUCGAGUCUGCCUGCCGAGGUGUAUGAAUGCUCCCGUUUUUGAGACCAUGACAUCUGGAUUCUUCUUGAAUUUGAGCAGUGAGGCCAAUGCUGUGCAGUUUAGACGCAUCCUAUCUUGCACAGUAACAUAAUGAGGGGUGAGUGACCAGCCCUGGGUGCCCACUGAGAGAGCAGUACCAUAGUUGCCCUGGCUCCUGCCCUCCUGCUGCUGCCUCCUGGGAUGAUCUUACAGCAAGCAUGGGCAUGGGCUGGCUUUUCAUCUGAAUGUUGCUUCUGUUGGAUCAAAACAUGAAAUAAGAAAAAUGAAAGCUAAUCAUCCUGU